rnacentral:rRNA from 1 species
UACGUAGGGGCAAGCGUUGUCCGGAAUCAUUGGGCGUAAAGAGCGUGUAGGCGGCUCGGUAAGUCCGCUGUAAAAGUCCAGGGCUCAACCCUGGAAAGCCGGUGGAAACUGUCGAGCUAGAGUCCGGAAGAGGCGAGUGGAAUUCCUGGUGUAGCGGUGAAAUGCGCAGAUAUCAGGAGGAACACCAAUGGCGAAGGCAGCUCGCUGGGACGGUACUGACGCUGAGACGCGAAAGCGUGGGGAGCAAACAGG